UUGAUGACAGUUAAAUUCACCAGUCCAGUAAUAGCGCACAUAAACACAAGCCAAUCAUUCAGUAAUAUCCCUCCCUUCCCUCCUUUAGCUGUCUUUAUUGCAGCCCAUCCUAGCCGUAGCCAUCGGCCUUGUCCUGGCUUUGCUGUUUUGGUGCUUGGGCCCAUUGUGGUAGAAAGGGAAAAUGGAUCAGGUGGAUGCCCGUCGCUGCUGUGACCAUUGCCGUGACGGGGUAUUUGCUUUCAAAGACCUCAAAAUGAACAUGAUGAACCAGUAACAAACACACGCACCAUGACAUGCAUACCAAGUAUAUGUUCCUCAGACUUGUUGACAUUUGUAUCCUUGUAGUCUGUGUGGUGUUAGUUUGAGUAACGAGUGUUUAAAUGCAACUUCUUACUCAAGUAUUGAAGGCCUUAGAAUAAUAAUGUCACAACAUUCUCUCAUUUGCACCAUAUGUAAUAGAUUUUUAUUUAUUUAUUGAGAUUCUGUAUGCAUUGCAUUUUGAAGUAUCUGACUAAUAACAGGUAUUUUAUUGAACACUGUUGCUUUGCCAAACAAACACUUAGUGAAUUGCCUUAUUUAACAUAACCUUAGAUAAACAAAUGUUUAUACCUCCCUAAACAAACUCUUCCAUGAGAACCGAUUCAGAACUGCAAAGCACACUGUAAUAACCAUCGAAGUUCGUUAAGUUUUAACUUGAUCGUAUGUUUUGCGGCUUAAAGGCCUAAAUCUGCUAAUAAUGUGUUUGUGUCUUUGCACCUUAUACGAAGCCAUUAGUGAUUAGUCUAUGCACUGUACUUUAUUGUGAUAAGGAUUUGACAUAUUAAUGAUGAUAAUGAUAAUCACUGUUUACCUAGGACAUUAGAGUGCUAAUGUGUCCGAAAGAGACCUAUAAUAGAGUGUUUAUGAUUGAUCAUGUUUAUUACUUGUACAGAGAUUUAAGGAAAACCUACCUGAUCUAACAAACAUGAUAAUUGCAAUAAAUAAGCAAGAGUGAAGUUCAA